GACGUAGGGGGCCAGCGUUGUUCGGAAUUACUGGGUGUAAAGGGUUCGUAGGCGGUGCGGCAAGUUGGGAGUGAAAUCUCUGGGCUUAACCCAGAGGCUGCUUCCAAAACUGCUGUGCUUGAGUGUGGGAGAGGCGCGUGGAAUUGCAGGUGUAGCGGUGAAAUGCGUAGAUAUCAGGAGGAACACCUGUGGUGUAGACAGCUUACUGGACCAUUUCUGACGCUGAGACACGAAAGCGUGGGUAGCAAACAGG
rnacentral:rRNA from 1 species